UACGUAGGGUGCGAGCGUUUAAUCGGAAUUACUGGGCGUAAAGUGUGCGCAGGUGGCCGCGCAAGUCGAGUGUGAAAUCCCCGAGCUUAACUUGGGAAUUGCGCUCGAAACUACGUGGCUAGAGUGUGGCAGAGGGAGGUGGAAUUCCACGUGUAGCGGUGAAAUGCGUAGAGAUGUGGAGGAACACCAAUGGCGAAGGCAGCUCGCUGGACCGGCAUUGACGCUGAGGCGCGAAAGCCAGGGGAGCAAACGGG
rnacentral:rRNA from 1 species